rnacentral:rRNA from 1 species
CGGCGUGCUUAACACAUGCAAGUCGAACGAACCUUCGGGUUAGUGGCGGACGGGUGAGUAACGCGUGAGAAUCUGCCCUCAGGAGGGGGAUAACGGUUGGAAACGACCGCUAAUACCCCAUAUGCCUACUGGUGAAAUGAAUUUCGCCUGAGGAUGAGCUCGCGUCUGAUUAGCUAGUUGGUGAGGUAAUGGCUCACCAAGGCUUCGAUCAGUAGCUGGUCUGAGAGGAUGAUCAGCCACACUGGGACUGAGACACGGCCCAGACUCCUACGGGAGGCAGCAGUGGGGAAUUUUCCGCAAUGGGCGAAAGCCUGACGGAGCAACGCCGCGUGAGGGACGAAGGCCUCUGGGCUGUAAACCUCUUUUCUCAAGGAAGAAGAUAUGACGGUACU